rnacentral:tRNA from 1 species
GGGGUCUUAGCUCAGCUGGGAGAGCAUCUGCCUUACAAGCAGAGGGUUACAGGUUCGAGCCCUGUAGGCCCCA